UUAAGCGACUAAGCGUACACGGUGGAUGCCCUGGCAGUCAGAGGCGAUGAAGGACGUGCUAAUCUGCGAUAAGCGUCGGUAAGGUGAUAUGAACCGUUAUAACCGGCGAUUUCCGAAUGGGGAAACCCAGUGUGUUUCGACACACUAUCAUUAACUGAAUCCAUAGGUUAAUGAGGCGAACCGGGGGAACUGAAACAUCUAAGUACCCCGAGGAAAAGAAAUCAACCGAGAUUCCCCCAGUAGCGGCGAGCGAACGGGGAGCAGCCCAGAGCCUGAAUCAGUGUGUGUGUUAGUGGAAGCGUCUGGAAAGGCGCGCGAUACAGGGUGACAGCCCCGUACACAAAAAUGCACAUGCUGUGAGCUCGAUGAGUAGGGCGGGACACGUGGUAUCCUGUCUGAAUAUGGGGGGACCAUCCUCCAAGGCUAAAUACUCCUGACUGACCGAUAGUGAACCAGUACCGUGAGGGAAAGGCGAAAAGAACCCCGGCGAGGGGAGUGAAAAAGAACCUGAAACCGUGUACGUACAAGCAGUGGGAGCACCUUCGGGUGUGACUGCGUACCUUUUGUAUAAUGGGUCAGCGACUUAUAUUCUGUAGCAAGGUUAACCGAAUAGGGGAGCCGAAGGGAAACCGAGUCUUAACUGGGCGUUAAGUUGCAGGGUAUAGACCCGAAACCCGGUGAUCUAGCCAUGGGCAGGUUGAAGGUUGGGUAACACUAACUGGAGGACCGAACCGACUAAUGUUGAAAAAUUAGCGGAUGACUUGUGGCUGGGGGUGAAAGGCCAAUCAAACCGGGAGAUAGCUGGUUCUCCCCGAAAGCUAUUUAGGUAGCGCCUCGUGAAUUCAUCUCCGGGGGUAGAGCACUGUUUCGGCAAGGGGGUCAUCCCGACUUACCAACCCGAUGCAAACUGCGAAUACCGGAGAAUGUUAUCACGGGAGACACACGGCGGGUGCUAACGUCCGUCGUGAAGAGGGAAACAACCCAGACCGCCAGCUAAGGUCCCAAAGUCAUGGUUAAGUGGGAAACGAUGUGGGAAGGCCCAGACAGCCAGGAUGUUGGCUUAGAAGCAGCCAUCAUUUAAAGAAAGCGUAAUAGCUCACUGGUCGAGUCGGCCUGCGCGGAAGAUGUAACGGGGCUAAACCAUGCACCGAAGCUGCGGCAGCGACACUAUGUGUUGUUGGGUAGGGGAGCGUUCUGUAAGCCUGUGAAGGUGUACUGUGAGGUAUGCUGGAGGUAUCAGAAGUGCGAAUGCUGACAUAAGUAACGAUAAAGCGGGUGAAAAGCCCGCUCGCCGGAAGACCAAGGGUUCCUGUCCAACGUUAAUCGGGGCAGGGUGAGUCGACCCCUAAGGCGAGGCCGAAAGGCGUAGUCGAUGGGAAACAGGUUAAUAUUCCUGUACUUGGUGUUACUGCGAAGGGGGGACGGAGAAGGCUAUGUUGGCCGGGCGACGGUUGUCCCGGUUUAAGCGUGUAGGCUGGUUUUCCAGGCAAAUCCGGAAAAUCAAGGCUGAGGCGUGAUGACGAGGCACUACGGUGCUGAAGCAACAAAUGCCCUGCUUCCAGGAAAAGCCUCUAAGCAUCAGGUAACAUCAAAUCGUACCCCAAACCGACACAGGUGGUCAGGUAGAGAAUACCAAGGCGCUUGAGAGAACUCGGGUGAAGGAACUAGGCAAAAUGGUGCCGUAACUUCGGGAGAAGGCACGCUGAUAUGUAGGUGAAGCGACUUGCUCGUGGAGCUGAAAUCAGUCGAAGAUACCAGCUGGCUGCAACUGUUUAUUAAAAACACAGCACUGUGCAAACACGAAAGUGGACGUAUACGGUGUGACGCCUGCCCGGUGCCGGAAGGUUAAUUGAUGGGGUUAGCGCAAGCGAAGCUCUUGAUCGAAGCCCCGGUAAACGGCGGCCGUAACUAUAACGGUCCUAAGGUAGCGAAAUUCCUUGUCGGGUAAGUUCCGACCUGCACGAAUGG
rnacentral:rRNA from 1 species